GACCCUUUUUUGUAACAUUCACUCCAAUAAAGUAUUUUAAAUCUGUUCUUAUCAGUUUAAUAUCUGAUACGUCUUCUAUCUGAGGACUAUAUAUUAAAUGGAUUUUUGGAAUAGGGAGAUG
rnacentral:snRNA from 1 species